GGGAAGGAAGUUCAGCGGUAGAGCGCUUGCCUUGCAAGCAUGAGGCCCUGGGUUCAAUUCCUCAGCACCA
rnacentral:tRNA from 1 species